GCCCUGGUAGCUCAAUUGGUUAGAGCGUCGGACUUUUAUCGGCUUUAAGCUAGUAACGCGUCAUCCGAAGGCUGCGGGUUCGACCCCCGCCUGGGGCG
rnacentral:tRNA from 1 species